AAUGAACGCUGGCGGCAGGCCUAACACAUGCAAGUCGAGCGGAUGAAGGGUGCUUGCUCCUGGAUGCAGGGGCGGACGGGUGAGGGAUGCCUGGGAAUCUGCCUGGUAGAGGGGGAUAACGUCCGGAAACGGGCGCGAAUACCGCAUACGGCCAGAGGGGGAAAGAGGGGGAUCGGCGGACCUCACGCCAUCAGAUGAGCGUAGGUCGGAAUAGCGAGUUGGUGGGGUAAAGGCGUAACAAGGCGACGAUCCGUAACUGGUCUGAUAGGAUGAUCAGACACACGGGAACUGAGACACGUUCCAGACUCCGACGGGAGGCAGCAGUGGGGAAUAUUGGACGAUGGGCGAAAGCCUGAUCCAGCCAUGCCGCGUGUGUGAAGAAGGUCUUCGGAUUGUAAAGCGCUUUAGGUUGGAAGGAAGUGCAGUACUUUAAUACCUUGCUGUUUUGACGGUACCCACAGAAUAAGCACCGGCUAACUUCGUG
rnacentral:rRNA from 1 species